rnacentral:rRNA from 1 species
AACGAACGCUGGCGGCAUGCCUAACACAUGCAAGUCGAACGAGACCUUCGGGUCUAGUGGCGCACGGGUGCGUAACGCGUGGGAACCUGCCCUUAGGUUCGGAAUAACUCCCCGAAAGGGGUGCUAAUACCGGAUAAUGUCUUCGGACCAAAGAUUUAUCGCCUUUGGAUGGGCCCGCGUUGGAUUAGCUAGUUGGUAGGGUAAAAGCCUACCAAGGCGACGAUCCAUAGCUGGUCUGAGAGGAUGAUCAGCCACACUGGGACUGAGACACGGCCCAGAAUCCUACGGGAGGGAGGAGUGGGGAAUAUUGGAAAAUGGGCGAAAGGCUGAAGCAGCAAGGCCGGGUGAGUGAUGAAGGCCGGAGGGAUGUAAAGCUCUUUUACCCGGGAUGAUAAUGACAGUACCGGGAGAAUAAGCUCCGGCUAACUCCGUG